AACGAACGCUGGCGGCGUGGAUAAGACAUGCAAGUCGAACGGGACAGACCGAGUAGCAAUAUUUGGAAUGUUCAGUGGCGAACGGGUGCGUAACACGUGGAUAACAUUCCGGAAAGCGGGGAAUAGCCCAGGGAAACUUGGAUUAAUACCGCAUGUGGCCGCAAGGCUAAAGACGGGGACCGCAAGGCCUGUCACUUUCCGAUUGGUCCGCGGCCUAUCAGCUGGUUGGCGGGGUAAUGGCCCACCAAGGCUACGACGGGUAGCUGGUAUGAGAGGACGACCAGCCACACUGGAACUGAGACACGGUCCAGACACCUACGGGUGGCAGCAGUCGAGAAUCUGUCACAAUGGGGGCAACCCUGAUGGAGCGACGCCGCGUGGAGGAUAAGGUCUUCGGAUUGUAAACUCCUGUCAUGCGAGAACAAGGUACUCAGGCUAAUAACCUGAUUGUUUGAUGGUACCGCAAGAGGAAGAGACGGCUAACUCUGUGCCAGCAGCCGCCGUAACAC
rnacentral:rRNA from 1 species